rnacentral:lncRNA from 1 species
AGUGGGACGGAAAUUGGGAGUGGAGGGCGGUGGCCUAGAUCCUCACCUCUUCGUAUUGUUUCACGCGGCAGUGCUUGGGAGUCAGUGUAGCUCCAGUCAGUGUUAUCAGCACCUUCGCACUGGCGCUUUGCCAGGGAAGAGAGUUAUCUAUGGCUUGAAUACCUCGGUGCCGUCCUCUCGUUUCUCUGGGAAACUGCAGUACGGAGAUGCUUUCUCCAGUAAUGAGAAGGCCUUUGGUGUCUCUUCGGGGCUUCUGGGACUGCAGUAGAGAGAGAGAAGGAUUUGAAAUUUCCCUGCCCAAGAAUCAACAGGAACUCUGUUUAUAGACCAGAAAUGUGACAUCUAUCUUUGGUACAUAAAUAAAGGAUAAAAUAUUUUAUGAAACAAAUCUUCAAUCAAGUAUAACAUUUUGAUGCUUGGCAUCUAGACUCCCUUGUGCCCUCACUAUGCCAGCGGCAACUGUAGAUCAUAGCCAAAGAAUUUGUGAAGUUUGGGCUUGCAACUUGGAUGAAGAGAUGAAGAAAAUUCGUCAAGUUAUCCGAAAAUAUAAUUACGUUGCUAUGGACAC